rnacentral:lncRNA from 1 species
UGACGUUGCUGUGUACAUGGAGGAAGGAAAAAGAUAGGAGAGAGCAUUACGUUACGCAGCCAGCCUUGGCAAACGAACGCUCCGUGAAGCCAUCCCUUUGCACAGUGUCGGCCCAACACGUGACCUCUUGCGUCGAGAUCACGGAGCAAGGAUCGAGAUUUGCCGAGACGUUUGGUGCCCGGUAGCUAUGCCGGUAGCUUUUAAUCGGUGCGCGCUUGUUCGGCUGCCCUGACGUGGCUCUGCCUGCAGAGCGGGAACACUAAAACCAACCGCGCACUAUGACGUGCGAUCACCUGUUGUGCCACCACGGUCGGCUUAAAUCGCGUUGCGCGAUGCUCCCUCCUAUAAUUUUCC